rnacentral:rRNA from 1 species
UACGGAGGGUGCGAACGUUAAUCGGAAUCACUGGGCGUAAAGCGCGCGUAGGCGGUCUGUUAAGUGGGAUGUGAAAUCCCCGGGCUUAACCUGGGAAUUGCAUUUCAAACUGGCCGACUAGAGUACGGUAGAGGGAGGUAGAAUUUCCUGUGUAGCGGUGAAAUGCGUAGAUAUAGGAAGGAAUACCAGUGGCGAAGGCGGCCUCCUGGAUCGAUACUGACGCUGAGGCGCGACAGCGUGGGGAUCAAACAGG